ACUGGGCAUGAUGGUUCACUUCUGUAGUACCAGCUACUCAGGAGGCUGAGGCAGGAGAGUUGCUUGAGCCCAAGAGUUCAAGAUCAGCUUUGGCAACAUAGCAAGAUUCAUUCUCAA
rnacentral:sRNA from 1 species